rnacentral:lncRNA from 1 species
GUCAUCAUUUGCUCUGCAUCCUGGCUGGGCUGUGUCAAAAGCUACCUUCACUCUAGGUGAGGACACUUCCUAUCUGCCAACUGCAGCACACUGUUUAAUAUUUAUUCUAACAUAUCAAGUAAAAUAGAUAGCUAUUUCGCUUUGUUUUCUCUGGGUAAGGCUGCAGGUAUACACGACAGUGAAUAGAAAGGCUUGUGCAGUGGCUGCAAUAGUGUGCAGCUAUGGGGGACAAGGCCACAGAACUGCUAGUGCUGUUAAAAUAACAAGUGAGGAACUCAGGGCUGCACUGCUCCCACUUCCAGUUACGCUGUGUUUAGAGGAUGACUUGACAGUGCUUGCGGUGGUUGUGGUGACAAUCUUUCUCACAGUUGGUUUCGGUUCAUUUCUGUUUUCUGGAUGGGUUUUCUUGUCCUUGAGUAUAUCUGCUGUGUGAAUCCUGUCACCAGAUCCUUGGCAGCCAUCCUCAUCAUCACAGUCCCCACUUGUCUCCAACUCUUCGCUUCUUCCUCCCCCACUGCCAGCAUCUCGGGAAGCCCAUCUCUCCAGUUUUAAUUUUGCCUUCUCAGCAUCCAGUUGAUUAAAGUUCUGAAGUUUAUCAAUCAAAGUGCUGAUGAGUGGGUCUAGUCCUCUGACUUUCAGUUCCGGAUUAUUAAUUUGUGCCUUCAGUCCACUGGAAACAACUCUGCUGGUAUAACUUUCCACAACAUCUUCUCCAUUCCAGCAGGUUGAGCUGUCUCUCAUCACCAGGUCUCCAUCACACAGCCUUUCUGCUAUAGAGGCAUAAAAGGUUCGGGAUCGCUUCAUAUAAUUGAUGAAUUCUCUUCUUUUAUUGUUCAGACUAGCAUGGGCCAACACAAGCGUCUGGGCUUCAGCUGCUUCCUUCAGUGGCACUAUAUGGCCUGAUGACAGGUUCCCUUCUUGUUGUUUGGGCUGUCCACACACUUUAUCAACUGUAGCAGAAAGCUGUGGUCCAUUCAACUGUGCGUGCAGGAUGGCUUCGUUGAUGGAGUUCCAGAUUCCCAUCAGUGCCAUUUCCAGAUCAUGCGAGGCAGCCAUUUCGUUAGUCAGAUAUUCCAGCGUGGAGAUAUACUCCCUCCAUUGCAUAUCCAGUUCUGACACGCUGGCCAAGCAGCCCCUCAUCACAUUCAGACAGUAUCCAACACAGGGUCUGAUUAGUGUCAGACCCUGGCAAUGUGGGCAGUACUGCAUCCUCACUAGAGCUCUACUGCACUCCUUGGUGAGAGCAGCGUGUUCAGUAGUAUUU